rnacentral:rRNA from 1 species
UCAUGGCUCAGGAUGAACGCUAGCUACAGGCUUAACACAUGCAAGUCGAGGGCGGAAACGGGCGUCAGGCUUGCCUGACGCAGUCGUCGACCGGCGAAUGGGUGAGUAACGCGUAUCCAACCUGCCCGCAAGCGGGGAAUAGGCUUUCGAAAGAAAGAUUAAUACCCCAUGUACUCCUCAGCAGUCAUCUAAAGAGGAGCAAAGAUUUAUCGCUUGCGGAUGGGGAUGCGUCUGAUUAGGCAGUUGGCGGGUUAACAGCCCACCAAACCGACGAUCAGUAGGGGUUCUGAGAGGAAGGUCCCCCACAUUGGAACUGAGACACGGUCCAAACUCCUACGGGAGGCAGCAGUGAGGAAUAUUGGUCAAUGGGCGAGAGCCUGAACCAGCCAAGUAGCGUGCAGGAUGACGGCCCUAUGGGUUGUAAACUGCUUUUGAAGGGGAGUAAAGUGAGUGACGAGUCACUCAUUGCAAGUACCCUUGGAAUAAGGACCGGCUAAUUCCGUGCCAGCAGCCGCGGUAAUACGGAAGGUCCGGGCGUUAUCCGGAUUUAUUGGGUUUAAAGGGAGCGUAGGCGGCCUUUCAAGCGUGUUGUGAAAUGCAGUGGCCCAACCACUGGAUUGCAGCGCGAACUGGGAGGCUUGAGAGCGCACGACGCAGGCGGAAUUUGUGGUGUAGCGGUGAAAUGCUUAGAUAUCACGAAGAACCCCGAUUGCGAAGGCAGCUUGCGGGAGCCGCAUCUGACGCUGAAGCUCGAAAGUGCGGGAAUCAAACAGGAUUAGAUACCCUGGUAGUCCGCACGGUAAACGAUGGAUGCCCGUUCUGCGGCCUUAUGGUCGCGGGACCAAGCGAAAGCAUUAAGCAUCCCACCUGGGGAGUACCCGCACGGGAACGCUAAGGAUUGAC